ACACUUACCUGGCAGGGGCAAUACCAUGAUCAAGAAGGUGGUUCGCUCAAGGCGAGACCCAGCCGUCGCACUCGGGCUGUACUGACCUUUUGUGAAUUCCCCAAAUGUGGGGAAUCUCUACUGCAUAAUUUCUGAUGGUGGGGGACUGCGUUUGCGCUCUCCUCUG
ensembl:snRNA U1 U1 spliceosomal RNA